UACGAAGGGGGCUAGCGUUGCUCGGAAUUACUGGGCGUAAAGCGCACGUAGGCGGCUUUCUAAGUCGGGGGUGAAAUCCUGGAGCUCAACUCCAGAACUGCCUUCGAUACUGGAGAGCUCGAGUCCGGGAGAGGUGAGUGGAACUGCGAGUGUAGAGGUGAAAUUCGUAGAUAUUCGCAAGAGCACCAGUGGCGAAGGCGGCCAACUGGUCCGGUACUGACGCUGAGGUGCGAAAGCGUGGGGAGCAAACAGG
rnacentral:rRNA from 1 species